rnacentral:rRNA from 1 species
AGCAGUAGCCACGGGAAUACGUAGGGGGCAAGCGUUAUCCGGAUUCAUUGGGCGUAAAGCGCUCGUAGGCGGUCUGUUAGGUCGGGAGUUAAAUCCGGAGGCUCAACCUCCGUUCGCUCCCGAUACCGGCAGACUUGAGUUUGGUAGGGGAAGGUGGAAUUCCUAGUGUAGCGGUGGAAUGCGCAGAUAUUAGGAAGAACACCAGUGGCGAAGGCGGCCUUCUGGGCCAUAACUGACGCUGAGGAGCGAAAGCUAGGGGAGCAAACAGGAUUAGAUACCCCAGUAGUCCCUGUCUCUUAUACA